UACGAAGGGGGCUAGCGUUGCUCGGAAUUACUGGGCGUAAAGCGCACGUAGGCGGCUUUCUAAGUCGGGGGUGAAAUCCUGGAGCUCAACUCCAGAACUGCCUUCGAUACUGGAGAGCUUGAGUCCGGGAGAGGUGAGUGGAACUGCGAGUGUAGAGGUGAAAUUCGUAGAUAUUCGGAAGAACACCAGUGGCGAAGGCGACUUACUGGACACAUAUUGACGCUGAGGAGCGAAAGCGUGGGGAGCGAACAGG
rnacentral:rRNA from 1 species